UUUCUAUUAUUAUUAAAACCAAAUCCCCCUUUUUUUUUUUGUUUUUCUCUCAGAUCCCUAAUUUCGAAUUUUUUCAUUUCUUCUCGAUCUCGAUGAAUUCCAUGGUGAUGAUUAUCGUUGGGUUUAUGUUGAUGGCAAUUACCCACUGCGCUUCCGCACACGGCGGCGCCGCCCCUGCCCCUGCCCCUUCACCUGCUCCUUCCAACGACGGUGCGGCGGUUGAUCAAGGGAUUGCUUACCUUCUGAUGCUUCUUGCGCUGGCGAUCACGUAUUUAAUUCACUGAAUACUAUUCUUUUUUUUUUUUUUUUUUUUUUAAGUUUCAUAGAAAUUGUUUUUAUUAUUAUUAUAUAAUAUUCAAUUAUUUUUUGUAUUUUCUCCUGUUAUUAGAUAGGGAAAAAUCCUCCAUCUUUUUAAAUCUUUGUAGCUUUUGCUUGUAGAGAAAUUCCGAGGAAAUCGAUAUAUUAAUUAUUGAAUUUUUUUAUA